UACGGGGGGAGCAAGCGUUGUUCGGAUUUACUGGGCGUAAAGGGCGCGUAGGCGGUCAGCACAAGUCAGUUGUGAAAUCUCCGGGCUUAACUCGGAAAGGUCAACUGAUACUGUGCGACUAGAGUGCAGAAGGGGCAACUGGAAUUCUCGGUGUAGCGGUGAAAUGCGUAGAUAUCGAGAGGAACACCUGCGGCGAAGGCGGGUUGCUGGGCUGACACUGACGCUGAUGCGCGAAACCCAGGGGAGCGAACGGG
rnacentral:rRNA from 1 species